rnacentral:rRNA from 1 species
UAGUGGCGAACGGGUGAGUAACACGUGGGCAAUCUGCCCUUCACUCUGGGACAAGCCCUGGAAACGGGGUCUAAUACCGGAUAACACUCCUGCCUGCAUGGGUGGGGGUUAAAAGCUCCGGCGGUGAAGGAUGAGCCCGCGGCCUAUCAGCUUGUUGGUGAGGUAGUGGCUCACCAAGGCGACGACGGGUAGCCGGCCUGAGAGGGCGACCGGCCACACUGGGACUGAGACACGGCCCAGACUCCUACGGGAGGCAGCAGUGGGGAAUAUUGCACAAUGGGCGAAAGCCUGAUGCAGCGACGCCGCGUGAGGGAUGACGGCCUUCGGGUUGUAAACCUCUUUCAGCAGGGAAGAAGCGAAAGUGACGGUACCUGCAGAAGAAGCGCCGGCUAACUACGUGCCAGCAGCCGCGGUAAUACGUAGGGCGCAAGCGUUGUCCGGAAUUAUUGGGCGUAAAGAGCUCGUAGGCGG